rnacentral:pre_miRNA from 1 species
AAUCUUUCUUGCUCAAAUGAGUAUUCCAACAGCAGCAAGCACUUGUGCAUUUCAAAACAUUAAUUUCUUCGCACAGAUUUGUGUUUUAUGAGAUGCUGGUGUUGGUGCUUCUGCGAUGCUCAUUUGGGCAAGCA